UGGGCCUACGGGGGGCAGCAGUGAGGAAUAUUGGUCAAUGGCCGAGAGGCUGAACCAGCCAAGUCGCGUGAGGGAUGACGGCCCUACGGGUUGUAAACCUCUUUUGUCGGGGAACAAAGGCGGAGACGCGUCUCCGGAUGAGUGUACCCGAAGAAAAAGCAUCGGCUAACUCCGUGCCAGCAGCCGCGGUAAUACGGAGGAUGCGAGCGUUAUCCGGAUUUAUUGGGUUUAAAGGGUGCGCAGGCGGGAGGUCAAGGCAGCGGUAAA
rnacentral:rRNA from 1 species